GUCUCGGUAGUCUAAUGGCUUAGGAUGCUCGUACGGAAUACAAGAGAUUCGGGUUCGAUUCUCCCGGCCGAGGUA
rnacentral:tRNA from 1 species